rnacentral:rRNA from 1 species
GAGUCGAGAGGGUUCGGCCCUCGGCGUACUGCUCAGUAACACGUGGAUAACCUGCCCUAAGGAAGGGGAUAACCCCGGGAAACUGGGGAUAAUACCCUAUAGGUUACAGAUGCUGGAAUGCUCUGUAACCGAAAGUUCCGGCGCCUUAGGAUGGAUCUGCGGCCGAUUAGGUUGUUGUUGGGGUAACAGCCCAACAAGCCAGUAAUCGGUACGGGUUGUGGGAGCAAGAGCCCGGAGUUGGAUUCUGAGACACGAAUCCAGGCCCUACGGGGCGCAGCAGGCGCGAAAACUUUACAAUGCGGGCAACCGUGAUAAGGGAACCUCGAGUGCCUGUAUAUGCAGGCUGUCUGGGUGUCUAAAACACACCUAAAGAAAGGGCCGGGCAAGACCGGUGCCAGCCGCCGCGGUAAUACCGGCGGCUCGAGUGGUGGCCACUUUUAUUGGGCUUAAAGCGUUCGUAGCUGGGUUGUUAAGUCCCUUGGGAAAUCCGACAGCUUAACUGUCGGGCGUCUAAGGGAUACUGGCAAUCUUGGAACCGGGAGAGGUGAGGGGUACUUCGGGGGUAGGAGUGAAAUCCUGUAAUCCUCGAGGGACCACCUGUGGCGAAGGCGCCUCACCAGAACGGCUUCGACAGUGAGGGACGAAAGCUGGGGGAGCAAACCGGAUUAGAUACCCGGGUAGUCCCAGCCGUAAACGAUGUGCGUUAGGUGUAUCGGUGACCACGAGUCACCGAGGUGCCGAAGGGAAACCGUGAAACGUACCGCCUGGGAAGUACGGUCGCAAGGCUG